UAAGCCCGCAAGGCCGACGCAAACGCGCCGCCGGUGCAAGCCCGGCCCCGCUCCCACCAGGGCGGGGGCGCUCAUGGGCCAAAA
ncrna:unclassified sequences Twister-sister ribozyme sequence